UGCGAGCGUUGUCCGGAAUUAUUGGGCGUAAAGAGCUCGUAGGCGGUUUGUCACGUCUGCUGUGAAAUCCCGAGGCUCAACCUCGGGCCUGCAGUGGGUACGGGCAGACUGGAGUGCGGUAGGGGAGAAUGGAAUUCCUGGUGUAGCGGUGGAAUGCGCAGAUAUCAGGAGGAACACCGAUGGCGAAGGCAGUUCUCUGGGCCGUAACUGACGCUGAGGAGCGAAAGCGUGGGGAGCGAACAGG
rnacentral:rRNA from 1 species